rnacentral:rRNA from 1 species
GAUCCUGGCUCAGAUUGAACGCUGGCGGCAGGCCUAAGACAUGCAAGUCGAACGGUAACGACACUAGCUUGCUAGUGGUCGACGAGUGGCGGACGGGUGAGUAACGCGUAGGAAUCUACCUAGUAGUGGGGGAUAGCCAAGGGAAACUUUGGGUAAUACCGCAUACGAUCUAAGGAUGAAAGGGGGCCUCUCUUUGAAGCUCUCGCUAUUAGAUGAGCCUGCGUAAGAUUAGCUUGUUGGUGGGGUAAUGGCUCACCAAGGCGACGAUCUUUAGCUGGUCUGAGAGGAUGAUCAGUCACACUGGAACUGAGACACGGUCCAGACUCCUACGGGAGGCAGCAGUCGGGAAUAUUGGACAAUGGGGGAAACCCUGAUCCAGCCAUGCCGCGUGUGUGAAGAAGGCCCUAGGGUUGUAAAGCACUUUUAGUAGUGAGGAAGGCUCGGUAGUUAAUACCUACCGGGAUUGACGUUAGCUACAGAAAAAGCACCGGCUAAUUUCGUGCCAGCAGCCGCGGUAAUACGAAAGGUGCAAGCGUUAAUCGGAAUUACUGGGCGUAAAGCGCGCGUAGGCGGCUUGGUAAGUUGGAUGUGAAAGCCCCGGGCUCAACCUGGGAACUGCAUCCAAAACUGCCUAGCUAGAGUAUGGUAGAGGAUGGCGGAAUUUCCUGUGUAGCGGUGAAAUGCGUAGAUAUAGGAAGGAACAUCAGUGGCGAAAGCGGCCAUCUGGACCAAUACUGACGCUGAGUGCGAAAGCGUGGGGAGCAAACAGGAUUAGAUACCCUGGUAGUCCACGCCGUAACGAUGAGAACUAGCCGUUGGACAUCUUGCAUGUUUAGUGGCGCAGC